AAUGAACGCUGGCGGCAUGCCUUACACAUGCAAGUCGAACGGCAGCAUGACCUAGCUUGCUAGGUUGAUGGCGAGUGGCGAACGGGUGAGUAAUGCAUCGGAACGUGCCUUUUAGUGGGGGAUAACGUAGCGAAAGUUACGCUAAUACCGCAUAUUCUCUGAGGAGGAAAGCAGGGGACCUUCGGGCCUUGCGCUAGAAGAGCGGCCGAUGUCGGAUUAGCUUGUUGGUGAGGUAAAGGCUCACCAAGGCAACGAUCCGUAGCGGGUCUGAGAGGAUGGUCCGCCACACUGGGACUGAGACACGGCCCAGACUCCUACGGGAGGCAGCAGUGGGGAAUUUUGGACAAUGGGCGCAAGCCUGAUCCAGCCAUGCCGCGUGAGUGAAGAAGGCCUUCGGGUUGUAAAGCUCUUUCGGCUGGGAAGAAAUCGCACCCUCUAAUACAGGGUGUGGAUGACGGUACCAGCAUAAGAAGCACCGGCUAACUACGUG
rnacentral:rRNA from 1 species